AAAAAUAUAGUAAGAAAAAUUAUUUCAUUAGUAAAAUCUUUCUUCAUGUAAAAAGUCCUUUUCAGCCUUGAGGAUCCCAAAAGUAUUAGUAUAAUUAUAUAGAGUAUAUAAAGUAUAUAUAAUUAUGGUUUAUUGUGCACUUACGUUCACACUAAUUGUACUCACUAGCCACAUAAUUUAUCUGCUGAUCAUUUCUGCAAGGAUUAUGAAUAAACUCUGUGGGUGGGAUAUAGUUGCCAAUUUUCUUUUUAUAUUACACUGCACAGACAUGCAUGUGCCAAUUCAUAGAGCUCUGAAAGGCAGCCACUUCUGAAGUAAAGGAUUGUAGUUGUUUAACAGUAAGUGCACCACUGCACUAUUGUAUAGGAAGUAAAAAAUACUGAAUUCUAAUUGGAACUGAAGACAGAAUAUACUAGAGGUAGGCAAAAUGUAAUUACCCCAGCUGGAAAUUUGCCUAGUCAUUAGCAUUACCAGUCCAUAACUUGUGAAAAACACUAGAGAAUUUUUUAAUGGCUUUGGACUUGGAUCACACCUGAAAUGGACAUAAAGUUAUAUAAUUUCAUUUAUGCAUUUUUUUUAUACAACUACAAAAAAGAGCAUCUAUUCAAAUGCCUAUAUCUCUAAACAUAGUAUUGAUUCACUUACAACUCUUGUCUGUAAUACCUCUCUAUCCCCCGGGCUUCAAACAUUCGGUCACGUGCAGCCUUGGUCUGGGCGGCUGGUAGAGGGAGUUACGGUCUCCUGUAGGCCGGUGGGCAGCCGUUUAUCACCUGGGUGGCCUCCCCCAAUCUCACCUGCCACGACUUUGAGUGUUAUACCAGUGGGGGGGCCAACCACCCAGGGCUCUGCUGCAGCGGGGAGUCCGCCAGGCGGUCAGCCAUGGGGGUCCAACCUCCCUUACACCCCAACCUCAUGCCAACCUCCGGCGGGUCACCAGAUCUUCUCGGCCGUACCCCCGAUGAUGUUGUCUCCCUGGAACUUGAUGGCUUUCGUAGCCCUGUCACGUUCUAGGCCCUGCCUCCCGAGAUAACUAACUCAGGCAGCAGUAGGGCUUUGGAAAAUCACUCCCUCCUGUGUCCAAGCAGUCCCUGCUUGGGACUCUAAAUUUACUCUGCACUCAAAUAAAGAUGGAGGACCAAAGAAAAUACGAUACCACACUAUCCUGCCUGCGUCGCCUCGUCCUCCCUCUCAGCCCCUCCAAAAGGGGGAAACUAAAAAAAGGAAAACCCAACACAAACUAAGUGUGGAAGGACCUAUCCGGUCCUUUCCCCUGCCCUUCUGUUAGGGUAACAGAGCAACCUUAGCUCCCUAUGAUCCCGCUGGGGUUUGGCCCAUUGUAUGGUCAGUGUAGGCCGUGACUCUUCGCCCUGGGUCGUUUCGCCUCUCACUCCACCCCAUCUGGUAUGUGCCACUGCUAUCCUUCUCCACUGUUGGAAACGUCCAGCUUCCGGCAUCCUGCGGUAUUUCCCCACGUACCUGGCUACUUCUUACGUUAUGGGCUGACACCCAGCCUCUGGCCGUUCUGCUCCACAGCUCCCCUUGCUGCUCCCUUCUGUCUCCAGCCACAAAGGGAGCCUCCUUUGGUUCUCCCGUCUCUCUGCCAAUCCUGUCUUUGUCGGUGUGGAGAGCCUCUUUUGGCUCCCCUGUCUCCUCACCAUGCUGUUCCCCACUGGCGUAGAGAGCCCCUGCCAGCUCUCUCUCCCUUGGGGUAUCCCGGACAGCGUCCAGCGUCGGAGUCCUCCCCAACUCUGCUCCACUCCCCCUGCCAUCGCGGUCCAUCUUAUCCCUGCUGGCUGGUGAUUGCUGAUGAUGUCACCGGAUGGUUUCAGCUGGAUAAAGGCACAGCUUAUGACCCGCGCGGAUUUCCUUUCUUGCUCCAGCCGCACCGCGGGUCCUGCUGCUGAUAAGUAUUUUCUUUGAGUUAUUUUUGUAUCUUUUUCUCUUUUGACGCGUGCUCCCCACCUCAGGGAGUCCCCAUUCAAUGUUUGGGGUUCUUUCCCCCGCUCUCCCCCGGGACAACCUCAAAUCUCCUCAAAGACCUUGCAUCCAAAUACUGACCAAUAAUAAUUUUUGCCUAAAAGGAAGUCAGAAUUUAUGCAUAUUGUUUUUAGUUUCACAAUUUAUCUAAUUACUCAGGCGCUGAAAAAGUAGAUGGUUCGAAUGUCAAUUCAGUGUUGUCCAUUUACUUUUGUCUGUUUUUAUCACACUUUACUAUAGCUUACAGGAAUGUACCAGAGACAUAUAUUGAAAAUAUCUGGAAUCCAAGACCUCAUAUACCUUGUUCUCAUCUCGUGUGCAAGAAGGAUCAACACAGACUAGACAUAAAGGAAGUGAUCUAUAUAUAAAAAACACAGAAAAACUUCUCCUUUCUACUGUAAUUUAGAAAUUUUGUUUACAGGGUGAAAAAAUAAACAGCAGUAGAGGAAGAAUGGAAUCAUACCAGAAAGAAAAAGGCAAGCUUACCUUUUUGGAGCUUGGGUUGAGUCCCAGGAUUAAGGGUCUGCUGUUUCAUUGGUGGAGCCUGCCCACCAAUCCAGAAGCAGGACAAGGGAAGCAAUGCCCCGCCCUUUUCUGAAGGGAGGGGGCAAGGAGCAGCUGGACCUGAAUUGGAACUGCACCAGCCAGGUCCGGAGAACUUCGGGGGUGGAGCCCCUGAAGAGUAUAAAAGGGGAGCGUGUUCAGCAGGCUAGGGAGAUAUGACGAGGGAUGACAAGGAGAGAGGAGUUCCAGAGAUGACUGUCCUUGGGACCCUGCUUGAACUUCAGCGGUACGCAAAUCAGCGCGCAAGGAUCAGGCUCUAGGAGCUGCUCGAGGCGGCUUGAGCCUGCGAACCCAGUAAGCGGCUGGGCAGUUGGUGUGCAGAUCAGCACAUGGAGAGUUGGCCCUGGGAGAAGCUCACGGCUGCUCAGGCUUCACCUGGUGCGCAGGUCAGUGCACGGACAACUGUCUUGGAAGCAGCUCAUGGCUGCUGGCAUUAGCCUCAGCCCGAGGCCAAGUGACAGAAGCCCCACAGUGCAGCUCUACUUUUAACUAAAAGAGCUCUGGUGCCCAGAGCUGGGCCCGGGAAAGGGAAGAACCUCUGGUGUGAGACCAGGGAGACGGAGCCUGUGAAUGCUUGGCUACUGCGAUAGAGAGUGAGCCCUGGGUGCCCAGUGUAGGGUGCCAGGCCAUUGAGGAGAGCUGAAGGCACCGCUGGGGAGAGUCUCUUGCGGGAUCGGCUACCAGGGGACGAACCUUGACUUCUCCAGAGAGGAAGCGUCAGUUACUGGGCAAAUGGGCCCCGCAGUGGAGGCUGACAUGGGUGAGGAGGGUCUGCUGCCUUCACUCUCCAUUGCGGGAGGGGCAUGUCCACAUCCCAGGGCCCUAAAGGGGAUGGACUUCAGGGAAACCCCUCAGAGAGGUGCUGAGUGCGCUCCCUAUUUUGAGGUUGUCAUGUUAGGGGCUAUAUGGAUAGGGGGUUUAUAUGGUUUAUGUGUUUUAAUGUCUCACUGUGUAUAUCGGUAUUGUUAUGUGAAAAGGUUUAAUUAAAUAUUAUGGUUAAGUUACUUGGGUUAUAUAGGUUAAUAUCCCUAUCUGUUAAUUGUGUUGUAUAGGUUGUAAGUUAUUUGGUUCAUAUUUGGUAUUAUAUGUGAAUUGUGGAAUAUUAUAUAUAGUAUUGUGUGUUAAGCCUUGUAAAUAUUCUAUGUUUUAUAUUAAGCAUCUGUAUUGAUUCUUGUAAUAAAUUGUACAUAGUUAA